AGCGAACGCUGGCGGCAGGCCUAACACAUGCAAGUCGAACGAAGUCUUCGGACUUAGUGGCGGACGGGUGAGUAACACGUGGGAACGUGCCUUUAGGUUCGGAAUAACUCAGGGAAACUUGUGCUAAUACCGAAUGUGCCCUUCGGGGGAAAGAUUUAUCGCCUUUAGAGCGGCCCGCGUCUGAUUAGCUAGUUGGUGAGGUAAAGGCUCACCAAGGCUACGAUCAGUAGCUGGUCUGAGAGGAUGACCAGCCACAUUGGGACUGAGACACGGCCCAAACUCCUACGGGAGGCAGCAGUGGGGAAUCUUGCGCAAUGGGCGAAAGCCUGACGCAGCCAUGCCGCGUGGAUGAUGAAGGUCUUAGGAUUGUAAAAUCCUUUCACCGGGGACGAUAAUGACGGUACCCGGAGAAGAAGCCCCGGCUAACUUCGUGCCAGCAGCCGCAGUAA
rnacentral:rRNA from 1 species